rnacentral:misc_RNA from 1 species
GGAUUGACCAAAACUGGCUUUGAACUGAACCGGAACUGGCCAGUUCCCCUGGAAUCAAACCAAAAUCAGGAGAGACCUUGCAGUCUGGGUCCAGUCCCACUGAACCUUGAACUGGAACUGCUGCUACUAGGCCCUUUGGCAAGGUCUAGAUACAGAGAUAAAUCACAAUAUUAAGUAAAUAUCCAACAUUUCAAUCAGCUGAAAAAUAAAGUAAUUAUUCCUUGGCAAAUACAAUGUGCUUCAGAGUGAGAACUACAAUAGCAAACUUUGCUCCUCAAAACCUCAUUAAAAAAAUAAAUAAAUAAAUAA